AACGCGAAGAACCUUACCUACCCUUGACAUCCUGCGAAUCCUGAUGAGAGUUGGGAGUGCCGAAAGGAGCGCAGAGACAGGUGCUGCAUGGCUGUCGUCAGCUCGUGUUGUGAGAUGUUGGGUUAAGUCCCGUAACGAGCGCAACCCUUGUCCUUAGUUGCCAGCAUUUAGUUGGGGACUCUAAGGAGACUGCCGGUGAUGAACCGGAGGAAGGCGGGGACGACGUCAAGUCAUCAUGGCCUUUAUGGGUAGGGCUACACACGUGCUACAAUGGGGCGUACAGAGGGUCGCGAACCCGCGAGGGGGAGCCAAUCCCGAAAAGCGUCUCGUAGUCCGGAUUGGAGUCUGCAACUCGACUCCAUGAAGUUGGAAUCGCUAGUAAUCGCGAAUCAGCACUGUCGCGGUGAAUACGUUCCCGGGCCUUGUACACACCGACGCAC
rnacentral:rRNA from 1 species